CGAGUUGAAGACCAUACAGAACUAAGUAGGUAUAAUUGACUGAAUUCACUUACUGCGAUGAUUGAAGAUGGCCAGUAUUGAGAAUUGUAAGAGGGAUCAUUUGAACAGUUACUUUGGCAAAGUAAUACUAGCACUAAGUGGAUAUUGUACGCCCAGCUAAGCUAGAAACAGACCUCCCUUGGGCUUGGACCACUGGUUCACUACACCCCAUUUCACCAUCAAAUGCAAGUUACAACAGUAACACCCUUUGGUCAGAAGAAGGGCAACUGCAAUCAUCAAUCAGCCCAAUCUACUACUAACACGAAGCAAUGAUGUACUUCGUACACUAAUACUGGGAUGCCACACGAAGUGACGAUCGAAGUAAUUGACAGCACGAAGCCAAGAAAUGAGAUAAAAGCUCACAGAAGGAUCCAGUUUCCGUCGAGGUCCGGUGCCUGGACGGGCGCCGGCGUGGGAUUUGCCGCCUCGAGCUGGGCAACGAGCUCCACGACCUCCCCUCUGACCUCCGAGGACGCCUUGAGGCCCAGGCCGGAGUCGUACACCGUGUCCACCAAGCACCGCUUCAGGUCCUCCCGCCCCUCAUCCUUAUCCUCCCCCUCCGCAGCAGUAGCCGG
rnacentral:lncRNA from 1 species